rnacentral:rRNA from 1 species
CCUACGGGUGGCAGCAGUGAGGAAUAUUGGUCAAUGGACGAGAGUCUGAACCAGCCAAGUAGCGUGAAGGAUGACUGCCCUAUGGGUUGUAAACUUCUUUUAUAUGGGAAUAAAACGUUCCACGUGUGGGAUUUUGUAUGUACCAUAUGAAUAAGGAUAGGCUAACUCCGUGCCAGCAGCCGCGGUAAUACGGAGGAUCCGAGCGUUAGCCGGAUUUAUUGGGUUUAAAGGGAGCGUAGGUGGAUUGUUAAGGCAGUUGUGAAAGUUUGCGGCUCAACCGUAAAAUUGCAGUUGAAACUGGCAGUCUUGAGUACAGUAGAGGUGGGCGGAAUUCGUGGUGUAGCGGUGAAAUGCUUAGAUAUCACGAAGAACUCCGAUUGCGAAGGCAGUUCACUGGACUGCAACUGACACUGAGGCUCGAAAGUGUGGGUAUCAAACAGGAUUAGAUACCCUUGUAGUC